GAAAGGAUACAACUAUAUUUAACCACCGGAAAGACAGAUGUAGUUUAUUUCGCACCGGCUCAUCAGUGACGUAGCCAGAGCUUUGGUGACGGGGAUGACAUGUCAAUAAGGCGCCCCCUGGCGGAGUGAACCCUCUCCCAAAAAUGGAAACUCAUCACUAGUUGCCCACUUUAUUUGAGCCUGAAACGGGCCCUCUCUGGCUUGAAACGAGCUCUCUCUCUAGCUAGAAACAGACCACUUCGGGCUUGAAACGGGCCAUCUCAGGCUUUCCGAAUCCAACAAAUAAUUUUUUUUUCGAUAUUGCUUAUUAGUUAUUGCUUAUUAGAUAUUGCUUAUUGGUUUGUUAAGUGCUUACAGCACUAAACAGACCAGCUCGAAAUCGGCCCCGUGAUCAAAGGGGGGAGAGGGGGGGUAACAUGUCACCCAUGUCACCCCUGGCUGCGCUACUGCGUUGCAUCAGGCACAUCCAUUCAGCAUACCACAUCGUGUGCAACCGAUGGAGACCGGAUCCCGAAUUAUUUUGGACAAUAAA